CUUUGAGGGUCUUGAUGUGUGGUUUGGGAAGGUUAACCAUCAUGUGUUGUGUGUCUACCCACUCAGGUGAUUGAUAUAUGUCUUGUAGAUAGAAAGUUCCCAAUUUGUUGUAUGAGCCCCCCCUUUCCAAUACAUUCCCAUUACGUAUUCACUAGUAUCUCCAGGGCUGGGGUGCUCUAUAUUUAAGGUAAGUUUCAUUGGGGUUGUCCCUGUUGGUUUCCAUAAAGUCAUUCUGUGUAGUAAAGAUUUCCCAUUCUUGUCCACUCUGUUUAGGGCACUUUGUGGCUUAUAGCCCCAUGCUAAUCCUGUGUUCCAACCUGCCGCCUUCCAGGAACUACAGUGAUGUCCCCAAUAGUCAUCUGUCACACAUAUGUAUGGGUCCUUUUUACUAGGUAUAUCUUUGUAGAUUGUUGACAGCAAUGAUUGUGGGAAUGUACAAGUGACAAUAUCACAGUAGUCAAAUGUAAAUGUAGCGACAUGUGUGUUGAAAGAGUUAUACCAAAAUGUGUAAACAUGAUUAUCUUUAGCGAUAGCAACUUAUUGGGCCUCUAUAAGACCUAGCAGCAGAAAAGGGCACAGGAAGCUCAUGAAUCAGCAGGAUCUGCUUCCUCUGGAGCUGGAGCUUUCUUGCAAUGUGAAGCAUGUAUCCAAGUCUUUUUCCCAGCCAAUUUCACUGAGGUAGAUGUGGUCAACAAGACUUGGAAAGGACCAUCAUAUCUUGGCUCAAGAGAGCUUUUCCUCAGGAACCUCUUAACCAGGACCCAAUCACCAGGAAGUAGCUUGUGGGUGCCCGUAUCAGACUCUGGAUCAGGAAUGGAAGAAAACACUUGUGUAUGGAUUUUGGUCAAAGCCAGAGAGAGAGCAGUUACAUAUUCAACCAACACAUCUGAUUGGAGUUGGAGCUGUUGAGGGAAAUAGCAGCCUAGUCUGGGGGCUGAACCAGACAAGAUUGUGUAUGAGGAUAGGCCAAACUUCCCUCUUGGUGCAUACCUCACACUAAAUAGAGCUAUGGGUAGACACUCUGGCCAGGGUAGGUUAGUUUCUUGGGCCAUUUUAAGCAUUCUGGCUUUUAAGGUGCCAUUCAUGCGUUCUACCUUGCCACUUCUCUGUGGAUGAUAGGGUGCAUGGAAUGCAAGGGUCAACCCGAGUGCUGCCCAGAUUUCUUUAGUCACCAAUGCAGUGAAGGAUGGGCCCUGGUCACUUUCUAUCACUUCCGGGACUCCAUAUCUGCACACAACUUCAGUGAGUAGACGUUUG